rnacentral:rRNA from 1 species
UCAAAGAUUAAGCCAUGCAUGUCUAAGUAUAAGCAAUUUAUAUGUGUGAAACUGCGAAUGGCUCAUUAAAUCGGUUAUAAAGUAUUUGAUAGUGAAAGACUAUAUGGAUAGCCAUAGUAAUUCUAGAGCUAAUACAUGCGUUAAAGGCCUAACUCGUGAGAGAAAGGCUGUGUUUAUUAGAUUGAAAACCAACGGGGGAGAUCUGAUUGUUUUCUCUCUAAAGGAGGAAACUAAUUAAGAACCACAAGUUUUGGUGAGUCAUAAUAAAUGAGCGAAUCUUCGUGAAUUUCGGAGAUGAAACAUUUCUAUUUCCGCUCUAUCAACACUGGCGUUAAGGUAGUGGCUUAACGGGGUUUUGACGGAUAACGGAGAAUUAGGGUUCGAUUCCGGAGAGGGAGCCUGAGAAACGGCUACCACUUCUAAGGAAGGCAGCAGGCGCGAAAAUUACCCAAUCCCAAUCAUCUUGGGGAGGUAGUGACAAAAAAUAACGAUGCAGGCUUUUACAAGUCUGUAAUUGUAAUGGUCUGGAUGUAAAUUGUCCAGAGAGCAUCAAUUAGAGGGCAAGUCUGGUGCCAGCAGCCGCGGUAAUUCCAGCUCUAAUAGUGUAUACUAAAAUUGCUGCAGUUAAAAAGCUCGUAGUUGGAUUUUAGGCGGAGCAGCUUGUCGGUUUGACUGGGGGUAUUUUUUUGUUUUAUUGGGGGUUAUCUUGUAUCUACGGGUAGCCUAAAAAUAAAAUCCAGUAAACGAUGUAUCCUUUUUAAAAAGAAUUUUAUAGUUCUUUUUAAGUUAGUCAAGUCGAUUGUUUCGCCGAAUUUUUUUUCGGGUUGGUUUUGUCCUCUUUACUGAGCGGCAGAAUUGAUUCGGAGGAUUUACUUUGAAGAAAAUGGAGUGUUCAAAGCAGGCGUUAUAUGCAGCUGAACACAUUAGCAUGGAAUAAUAAAAUAAGACAUCGGCGAUUGUUAUUUUUCUCUACCUAGUUACCUGAUUUCUAGAUCUUUUCUUUUACGUAUAUUUUCAUUGUUCAGACGCUAAUCUCUGGGUUUUUUCCAAAGAGAAGUGUUGGGGGCAGUAAUGUCUUCAUCAUUUUUUUUUUUGGAGGAUUCAGGGAGUUUGAAAUUUAAUGGAAGUAUAUAUGGGGGAUUUAGGCAGGGCUAGGACCGGAGGGCAAUCUACAGAAAUGUAUUCGUUUUGUUGGUUCAUGGAGUUGAUGUAAUGAUUAAUAGGAAUAGUCGGGGAUAUCCGUAUUGCAUUGUCAGAGGUGAAAUUCUUGGAUUUUUGCAAGACGAACUAGUGCGAAAGCAUUUAUCAAGGAUGUUUUCAUUAAUCAAGAACGAAAGUGAGGGGAUCGAAGACGAUCAGAAACCGUUGUAGUCCUUGCCAUAAACUAUACCGUCUAAGGAUCGGUGGAUGUAAUUAUUAUCUUCACACCUCCGGCACUUUUAGAGAAAUCAUAAGUCUCUGGGUUCUGGGGGGAGUAUGGUCGCAAGGCUGAAACUUAAAGAAAUUGACGGAAGGGCACCACCAGGUGUGGAGCCUGCGGCUUAAUUUGACUCAACACGGGGAAACUUACCAGGUCCGGACGCGGGAAGGAUUGACAGAUUGAUAGCUCUUUCUUGAUUCCGUGGGUGGUGGUGCAUGGUCGUUCUUAGUUGGUGGAGUGAUUUGUCUGGUUAAUUCCGAUAACGAACGAGACCUCAACCUACUAAAUAGCCAGGUUUCAAGUUAAAAUAUAAGGGGAAAAGAGGAGAGGUGGGAAGGGGGUAAAACUUCUUUUCAUUUCUUUUUCUGUCUUCUACUUGAGACUCAAAUUAUAUGGUUUCUUCUUAGGGGGACUACCGUAUUUUUUUUAAACGGGGGAAGCAUGAGGCAAUAACAGGUCUGUGAUGCCCUUAGAUGUCCUGGACCGCACGCGCGCUACAAUGAUGCAGUCAACGAGCUUGUCCUGUCCCGAAAGGGUUGGGUAAUCUUUUGAAACUGCAUCGUACUGGGGAUUGAUCUUUGUAAUUCUGGAUCAUGAACAAGGAAUACCUAGUAGGUACGAUUCAUCAGAUCGUGCCGAUUACGUCCCUGCCCUUUGUACACACCGCCCGUCGCUCCUACCGAUGAUUGUUCAGAUGAAAUGCUCGGAUUGUGCAGGUGUGAUUGCUUUCGGGUGGUUGGACUCUGUUCUGGAGAAGAGUAGUAAAUCUUAACAGUUAGA